rnacentral:rRNA from 1 species
CCAAUAGCGUAUAUUAAAGUUGUUGCAGUUAAAAAGCUCGUAGUUGAAUUUCGGGAUUGACACAUCGGUCGUGCCUUAAGGGGUAUGAACUGGUGUAGUCAGUUUCUCACCUUCUGGAGAACCGCGAUGUCCUUAAUUGGGUGCCGCGGGGAACCAGGACCUUUACUUUGAAAAAAUUAGAGUGUUUAAAGCAGGCAUUUUGCUUGAAUCCAUUAGCAUGGAAUAAUAAAAUAGGCCGGAUGGUUCUAUUUUGUUGGUUUCUAGGAUCACCGUAAUGAUUAAUAGGGAUAGUUGGGGGCAUUAGUAUUCAAUUGUCAGAGGUGAAAUUCUUGGAUUUAUUGAAGACUAACUACUGCGAAAGCAUUUGCCAAGGAUGUUUUCAUUAAUCAAGAACGAAAGUUAGGGGAUCGAAGACGAUCAGAUACCGUCGUAGUCUUAACCAUAAACUAUGCCGACUAGGAAUCAGACGAUGUUAAUUUUUUAAUGACUCGUUUGGCACCUUACG